rnacentral:misc_RNA from 1 species
UUGAGAUACAACAUGGCAAGUUGUUGCUGGCCUUCACCAUAGGCAAUUGUGCACGCUUGUUAUUUCUCAUUUUCACAUCCUUUGUGCAUCUUCUGUAGAUUUGGUUUAGGACUCCUUAGCAGGAGUUUGGUUUCUCUUGCAGGCUUUCCUUGUUAUUUCAGAUCUAUGUCUCAUUUUGUAUACCCCAGUAUAUAUGAAGGCAAAUUGAAUGGCACAUCUGUGUCUUUAAUAACACAUAUA